UGUGAAAUGAUCAUGUCCUACUUAUUACA
rnacentral:piRNA from 1 species